ensembl:lncRNA
CCAAGCCCCAUUUUUAUGGCCAGUUACAAAUCUCAUCACUGUCAGCUGUCCUCGUAACCCGGGCGUUUCUCAUCACUUUCCUCGUCAGAGCUGGAACACUCUGACUACGCCAACAGCAUCUCCAGCUGUGGAUCCCGUCCCAUCCCUCCAGCUAAACCAUGGGUCUAAUCCUGAAGGGAUGGGACGGGAUCCACAGCUGGAGAUGCUGCUGGGCGUAGUCAGAGGUGUUCCAGCUCUGACGAGGAAAGUGAUGAGGAAACGCCCGGGUUAAGGAGGACAGCUGACAGUGAUGAAGAUUUGUAACUGGCAUAAAAUGGGGCUUGAGAGCAAUUGCAAAUUGCGUUGGGCAAGGUAAUCUGGGCAAACGCUUGGGAUCCGUGUGUGUGUGGGACGCUUCCCUGAAGACUUGUGUGCUUUCCUGUGCUGAGACGUAAGUUGAUUGGAAUCCAGGGUCAGACGGCGGGAGGGAUUGUGUGGGCAUUUGUUUGUGCAAACCUGUGCUUACUCUUAUUAGCUUGACCUUCCGUCGUCUUCUUGACGGACGCCAUCUCCUGCUUUGAAUACCCGGACUGAACUGACCACGGCUUGGCUUCAUCCCCUUCUUGGACUUGGGAAAACUACAAACGUCUGCUUCUGGCUUUGAACUACGGAACGGAACUGGUCUACUCUACUGUUGCAUUCCCUGGCUGAUUUGUUCGUGCUGGAAAUCCUGUCUGCUGUGUGUGUGUGGGAGCGACGCAAGUUACUGUAAACACUGUGUUGGCAGCAGAGAGGAAUCUGCUGCCAAUUAGCUGCAUUCUUUGUAUCUUUUGUUCUUGGCUCUCGUUUUGUUUAUAUUCAGGCUGAAGCAAGCAGUUUGUUUUUUACCCGGAUUAAACUCCGGUUUAAUCCGGUUUAUCUUUUGAACAUUUAUUUUGCCCCUUUUUGCUCCUAAAGGCAAAUACUGCCUGGCCCUUGUGUUUUACGGGCUUGUUUUGAGUUCUGUAACCUAAUAAACUCUGUUACUUUGAAUCUCGUGGCGUUCUGUCCUUGACAACAGGCCAGAAACAUUACCCAUCUCUAGAUGAAUGUGCUUAUUAUCCCUUGUUGAGGACUUUCCAGAUAAUGGGGUAAAGAACAGUAAACUCGAGACCUGAUCCAGAAGAGUUCAUGAUAUAUUAUUCUUCUGAUCCUAGUGGAUGGACACAAUGAUGUCUGUAUGGCUAAUGGGUCAAAGAGUGGAAGUGUCUAACCGUUAUGAAUGCUUGUAUAAUAUGUAUAAUACAGCACCUAUGUUGGGGCUGCUUAGCUAUCACUAUCAGUGGAGUAGAUAGCCCAGUCACAAUCCAGGGCCCUUAAUUAAAUUUACAGUUUCAUUUUAUCAAUUAUUCUUCUAGUUUUAUACGAGUCAUAACCCAUAGUAGCAUUCUCAGUAGAGCCCGAAAGCAAAGCAUACACAAAAGUAAGGAGCCAGACACCAUCUUGGUGCUGUGUAAUUCCAGUGCUACCCAAGAAUCUGCAACACUGAACCUUCAACCUUUCACAGAUGAAAACAAGGACAAGUCUGGCCAAGCAAUAUCAGAGCAUGGGGAAAAUGGCAAAUGUUAUUAAUGGAGAAGAUCACCCAAACUAUGAGUAGUUAACUGGGACAAAAGGAGGAA